GACGAACGCUGGCGGCGUGCUUAACACAUGCAAGUCGAACGGAAAGGCUCCAGCUUGCUGGAGUACUCGAGUGGCGAACGGGUGAGUAACACGUGGGUGAUCUGCCCUGCACUUCGGGAUAAGCCUGGGAAACUGGGUCUAAUACCGGAUAGGACCGCACUUUGGUGUGUGUGGUGGAAAGGUUUUUCUGGUGUGGGAUGAGCUCGCGGCCUAUCAGUUUGUUGGUGGGGUAAUGGCCUACCAAGACGGCGACGGGUAGCCGGCCUGAGAGGGUGGACGGUCACAUUGGGACUGAGAGACGGCCCAGACGCCUACGGGAGGCAGCAGGGGGGAAUAUUGCACAAUGGGGGAAACCCUGAUGCAGCGACGCCGCGUGGGGGAUGAAGGCCUUCGGGUUGUAAACUACUUUCGCUAGGGACGAAGCUUUUUGUGACGGUACCUGGAGAAGAAGCACCGGCUAACUACGUG
rnacentral:rRNA from 1 species